UGGCAGUUAUCGAAAUUCGCAACCGACUUCCUAACAGAACAAUUAGAGAGAGAUUCGUUUCGCGACAAUCACAUAUAAUGACGUUUUGAAGAAUAUAUAUAUAUAUAUAUAUAUAUAUAUAUAUAUAUACAACAGAUAUUUAUACAACAUUAAAGAUUUGAUACUCUAAACUAUUUCUAAAAUGAGUUUUCUUCUGAAAAGAUGUUUUUAAUUCAAAAGAAUUAUUUAUAAUUUAUAAUUCUUUUAUAAAAAUGUCUUAUUAAUAAUUAUAUGUAAAAAUAUGUAUAAUCAGAACGUGAACUUGUUUUGAAAGAAUGGUUUUAGUAAUUGUAAUGAUUUGUCUAAACAAGAAUCAGUCGAGAAUGAAAUUGAUAUUAGAGGUAUAUAAAGAUAGCAUUUUAUAAAGUCAACUAUUUUUUAUAUCAAUUUUAAUAUAUUUAAGUUUUUAUUUUCAUAUAUAAAACUAAAUAUUUAGUAUUUCGAUUAUUCGAGAAUUAAUUCAAGCACUUAUAAGUAGGUAAAAAAUUAUUUUGUGGGCAUAAAACGUUGUUAUUAAGUUAUAUAACAGUACUAAGUAUGAAGUAAUAAUUUUGUUAAUUGAUAAUUAUAAAAUUAUUUGAAACGUAUGCUAUAUUACAUUAUAAUAUUAAUAAUGGAUAAUGAUUGUAGAACUUCCAAAAUCAAAGAGGGACGUUUGAAUUAACGCUCUAUUAUUAUAAUUUUGAUAAAAAUAAACUGGUUGGGAAAAAUCUAUAAAUAAUUAGUGUCUCGUGCUCUGCGAGAUCGCGGCAAGCGAAAAUCCAAUUAUUUUAAAUAUAUUAUGAAAUAAAUGCAGAUCACAAAGACAAAUUAACAAAAAAGAAAGAUAAUAGAGAAAAAAUUGAGGGACUUCCUCAUAUUACUGUAACAGGGCUGUUAGAUGAUAACAGUUCCAGUUUACCAUCUAGAAGUCCAAAAAUAAUGAGGGACGGCUUAAGGUCAUUGUACCAACUUGAAGUGAAUAUGCCACCCUUCACAAACAUAACUGAAUGUUCAUCUAUGACUAAUUUAAAGAUUUGUAAGGCAUUGCUGAAUCACCAGACCAUAUAUAAAGAGAUAAAAAACAUAGUAAAGAAAAAGAGUCCUUGCAAAGUAAUAAUAAACCACAUUGGAAACGGACCUUCAGAACAAUUGGAAACAAGCAGAAAGAGACUAAUUUAUAAGAAACUUCCAAGAAAAUCGUGGAGGAACCAUGUCCACAGAUUAUUGUCACCAAGGUGUCACAUAAAAAUAUAUCAUUAGCAGAAAUAUCAGCAGAAAUAUCAAAUACAGAAAAUUGUAAUUUACAACUGUUAUAAACUAAAGACGUAUCAGAAAUUAGAAAUGGUUGCAAUGCAAAAAUUGAAUUAAUACCAUCAUUGUCUCACAUUUCAUCAUGGACAAUGAGUGAAAUGUAAUAAUUCUCUCAAAAAAUGUACGUCACCAAGUGCUGAGAAAAAGGAAGUCAAAAGAGCGAAACUUUGCGAUACCACGGGUAGAAUUUUCUUACAGCAAUAGAGUAUGCAGAAAAUUAUUUGGAUGGAUAAACCAUAUGUAUAUCAGUCAAGCCGACAAUGUGGCUUUACAUGAUGACAGCGUUUAUGUUCACAUUCAGUGGUCGAACAAGAUAUUUUUAGGCAUAUAACGUGUCGGAUCGAUCACGAAUAUUUGAAAGAAACCUGCCUCAAGUUGCACGAUAAUAAGAUAAUAGUCGGAUUUUUAUCGAUGGAACGACGUUGCUGGACGUGUGAUGUUUUAUUUCUUAUCAUCUUGGCGCGGACGUAAAUUACUGCUUGUCCUUGGCGUGAUAGACAAAUUUAUCUAUUCCUUUAUGGUCCUGAUCAUUGGAUAAUGGAGACUUGGAAAUUUGCUUUGUAUACACAUUGGAUGAAUUUUCCGUGUAACAUAGAAUCCUGAAGAUGAUGAUUCUAGAUGUCAUUUAUCUCAGCACGAAGCCAUCUAAUGAGAGUCGUGCUUGGAUUUUAUAUCUUCAGCCACUCGUCCUAUUUGAUUUUCUUUGUAAACGCCAUGUUGCUUGAGCUAGCCAUUUUGUACUCGUAUGAUUUAAGUAGCAAACAUCACCAUGACAGCAACAGAUGUUCUCCGGCAUCAAUUCUUCUUCUUCUUAUUUUUUUUGUUGACAAGGAACAGAUGAAUAGUUAAGAACUGAUCAUACUGCCAGAGUACCUUCAAAUAAUAUUAUAUAAGAAGGCUUGAUAUAUAAUUUUAGAGGAAACACUGCAAGCUUCUUCUUGUAUAUCGAAUAAAAAGAUUAUCAUCAGUC